rnacentral:lncRNA from 1 species
GUGGAUGGGAGAAUGCCCAUGUAUUUGUGUAUGUAUAAACAAGAUAAAAUGGCUACUUCACUCCUACUGAAACCAAACCGAAAGAGCAGUUCACCUGCCUCUAUUGCUGUCCCAGAAGUGUGCCAUGGAUACUGCAAACAGAUUGCAUAUAGUGUCUAUCAUUCCUGGAGUGUCUUAUUACCCAUGCUUCAGAUAUGCAGUGUAAAGAUUCAGGACUAUCUCUGCUUCUGCCACUGGCUGCUGUCUCAGCCUCCUCAUUUGGUAAGGUGGACUCAUUUGAGUAGCAUGCAUUUUAACACAGGCAAAUGCAAUCCUAGAUCUGGGAACAAAGAAUGUAGAUCAUACUUACAAGAUGGGAGUAUCUUGGAAUUCAGUGACACUGAAAAGGACUAUGGGAUAAUAGUACAGUAGAUAAACCUUUAAUGUGAG